UACAGAGGGUGCAAGCGUUAUUCGGAAUCACUGGGCGUAAAGAGUUCGUAGGCGGUUUGUUAAGUUUAAUGUGAAAGCCUCAGGCUCAAUCUGAGAAGUGCAUUAGAUACUGGCAAGCUAGAGUGCAGGAGAGGAAGGCGGAAUUCCAGGUGUAGAGGUGAAAUUCGUAGAUAUCUGGAGGAACAACAGAGGCGAAGGCGGCCUUCUGGACUGUCACUGACGCUGAGGAACGAAAGCGUGGGGAGCAAACAGG
rnacentral:rRNA from 1 species